rnacentral:lncRNA from 1 species
AAAACGAUAUCAAACAAGACCUUGCAUGUUGUAUUAUUGUUUCAAGUUCUCGCAUAUUAUAGGAUCGCUUCCAAACAUAGUAAUAUUCCCUUGAUAGACUAUAAGGAAGAAAUGUGUGCGACUUUCAUCUAUAUCUAUACUACUAUUAAAAGACCAAACGUUACUUCCCCUACAUCCACACGAAAAAGUGCACACAGGAUUACCCAAGACGUCCGAUCAUACCCACUAACUACCAUCCAACAGUCCACGUUUCAUCAACCAUAAUACAAAUAGAUCGACGGUUCAAACGAAAUGUUCUGCCGGCAGACUCCCACGUCCAGGCUCCUACACAUCCCAACGAUAACAACUCCAUCCAGCGAAUAAUGCCCUAUCUCCGCAAUCAACGCCACCACGCCACGAACCUCGCGUCGGCACGCCGUCCCGCGGUCCUCGCUCCGCCCCGCCCCGCCCGGCCGCCCUUGGCACGCGACCCUCGCCCCUGGUCUCCGCGACGUCCUCGACCCGCCUUGCAGCCCUAACUCUCCUCAAUACGCCGUCGUCACGACGCCGCCCUCGCCCCCGGUGUCAGCGACGUCCUCGACCCGGCGCGCUGCCUUACCUCCGGUGUCAUCACCCCUGUAGCCAGCAACAUCUCCAAUACAUAUGACUACUGCCAAACCUGGCAGUGCACAAGUUAGAUCAACUGAAUUUGCACGUCUUUUGGUCAGACAUAAGACAAAAGGAAUUGCUCUUUUAAUCUGACAACGUGUAAUUUUAUACUUACAGUACAUCAUGAUUUGCAUAGCACACUAAGUUCAGGCAGGGUUCAGAAGUGUUUCAUAACAGGAGCCAUUGAGAAUACAGUAUGUCCGGAUCUCAGCGUAGUGGGGUACGUACUCCCUUUCAGGACCUGACAAACAACGACAGUUCAGGUAAAUACAUAUAUCACCUACUCUUACCUACUAAGAUCAUGUAAGUACCGACUAUGUUAUUGCGUCGCAGGUCAAAAAACAGAUCCAAAAGAACUAAAGAGACAGAGGGAAAGGAAGAGGUAUGCACUAAACAGGGAUGCAAUAUUGAAAAAAAGAAAGGAGUCUAUAUCUGUCUAUAUCUAUACUACUAUUAAAAGACCAAACGUUACUUCCCCUACAUCCACACGAAAAAGUGCACACAGGAUUACCCAAGACGUCCGAUCAUACCCACUAACUACCAUCCAAUAGUCCACGUUUCAUCAACCAUAAUACAAAUAGAUCGACGGUUCAAACGAAAUGUUCUGCCGGCAGACUCCCACGUCCAGGCUCCUACACAUCCCAACGAUAACAACUCCAUCCAGCGAAUAAUGCCCUAUCUCCGCAAUCAACGCCACCACGCCACGAACCUCGCGUCGGCACGCCGUCCCGCGGUCCUCGCUCCGCCCCGCCCCGCCCGGCCGCCCUUGGCACGCGACCCUCGCCCCUGGUCUCCGCGACGUCCUCGACCCGCCUUGCAGCCCUAACUCUCCUCAAUACGCCGUCGUCACGACGCCGCCCUCGCCCCCGGUGUCAGCGACGUCCUCGACCCGGCGCGCUGCCUUACCUCCGGUGUCAUCACCCCUGUAGCCAGCAACAUCUCCAAUACAUAUGACUACUGCCAAACCUGGCAGUGCACAAGUUAGAUCAACUGAAUUUGCACGUCUUUUGGUCAGACAUAAGACAAAAGGAAUUGCUCUUUUAAUCUGACAACGUGUAAUUUUAUACUUACAGUACAUCAUGAUUUGCAUAGCACACUAAGUUCAGGCAGGGUUCAGAAGUGUUUCAUAACAGGAGCCGUUGAGAAUACAGUAUGUCCGGAUCUCAGCGUAGUGGGGUACGUACUCCCUUUCAGGACCUGACAAACAACGACAGUUCAGGUAAAUACAUAUAUCACCUACUCUUACCUACUAAGAUCAUGUAAGUACCGACUAUGUUAUUGCGUCGCAGGUCAAAAAACAGAUCCAAAAGAACUAAAGAGACAGAGGGAAAGGGAGAGGUAUGCACUAAACAGGGAUGCAAUAUUGAAAAAAAGAAAGGAGGCAAGGGAUCGUAAGAAAGCUAUGCCCGCUAUUUUAAAUGGAACCAACACUCCAUCUAAGCCACCCGUGGCCAUGUCGCCUGGUUACUCAAUUUUCUCUGUUCUCUAUCAUACAUUUCAUUAAUCACAUCUAAAGACAUGUUAAUUAAAAGUCCCUUUCGACAGGUUUUGACACUGUGGGGAUGCCCAGUGCGCAGUCUGCUAUCACCCAGCAACGGCACACACCAGUUGUGGAAGGUCAUGUGUUCUACUACAUCCAGACAUACUACCGGCUUUUGUGUGUCAGCAACUGACUUUGGUAAUACAAUUUUGAUGCAGGCAUACUUGUUGAUGUGGUAAUGAGUGAUCAGACUCCACUUCAUGGUCCAUGUGAACUAACAACACCAGAUACUGUCGGGUCUAACAAGGAAAAUGUUGAUAAUAUUAACUCUGCCAUUGAUUCCUCCCAACUUACUGUGUUACGACCGCCACUUCAAGCCUACAGAUGCAGCAGUUCGUAUGGUAAUCAUUUCUGGCUCAUAUUAACAAUCAUACAUAAUGCACACAUACUUCGUACAUAGUAUAAACCUAUGUUGCUCAAGUUGUCUUGAACCUAAUUCACACUUACUAUACAGAAGAAAAACAAGCACUGAAGAGGCAGAGGGAAAAUGCCCGGUAUGAGCAACAUAAAGAAGAGAUAUUGCAAAGCCUACGUGACAAACGUCGUGCAGCCAAAUCUACAGUAGUGCUUACAACCGGAGAACAAAACCAAUCUGAUACAGGUGAUGCCAGCUACAUGAAACACUGUAUUUCUUAUAUUAGAUUUCCUAACUGAGAUUCACUCGAUGUUUCUGUAGCUGAUGAAGAUUGUGAUUGGCUCCACACAAAUGAUAUGUACCAGAGACAAACCAUUGGAAGGAUGAUGAGGCGAGACAACAUAGUCACUGCGUCGUCACGUGGACACAAUCAAGUCAACAAUUAUAAUGGUGCUUUCAUUGACUACUUCUUGGUUCAUGCCUUUCAUUCAACGCUGAAACUUGCCCAUUUUGCAACAUAUGUUGUCAGGCAACGACCACGACGAUGAUGCAUAUGGAAUACUGGAGCCCGAUGGCAACACAACAAAUAUGGAUGGUACACAUAAAUGCAUUUACGGUUCUAUGUUUAUUUUAGGAUAUCUUAUAACUAAUAUUUGUCUACUAUAUAGACUGCUUGGGAGUUGAAAAUCUUAUUGAAACUGAAUAUGUUGAGCCUGAUGAAGAAGCUAGGAUGUUCGCCCACCAAGGUACCAUAUUGCUAUCAUGAGUUUCCAUAUAUAGUAUAAUACUGUCUUUUCUGCAGAACAAAAUAUUAAUUAAUCUUCAUAUUCCAAUCCAGAUGUUGACUUUGAAUCCUACCGAGUUGAACGACGUCACACUGAUGGAACACCAACAAAUGAUCCUAAUGAUAGGGCUUACAUUAACCUUCCCAAAAAUCACCAUGUCCUUAGAAAAGUUAGGGACUGUCUCCACUGUGGAGCAUUGCGGUUUCAAUACGAGGGACCUGCAUUUUGUUGCAGAAAGGGGAAAGUAGAUUUAUUUACUCCCGAGGUCCCAGACGAGUUGAAACGGUUGUUCACAAGUCAACGUGAUGACGAUGCUAAACAUUUUCGAGACAAUAUUCGGUAUUUCAACUCUCACUUCUCAUUCACAAGUCUUGGAGUCACCCUUGAUCGUCGAGUAAGCACUGCAGCAAGAACCGGCGUAUAUACCUUUCGUGCUUGUGGGGGGUUGUACCACGCUCUUGAUGAGCUGGUGCCGGCUGAUAAUGGCCCUAGGCAUUUGCAACUCUCUAUUUAUGAUACAGAUCAUAACUUGGGGCACAUGACUAAUAUGUCUCCAGAUCUAGAUAUAGAUCUCAUACGGAAAAUUCUGGGAAUACUAGAGCAGAACCCUUAUGCACAUGCUUUCAAGAGCCUUGGGUCUGUUCCGAAUCUAGAUGAGUACAAGAUCUCACUAAACACAGAUAUCAAGUUGGAUCAACGUAGGUACAAUGCCCCAACGACUUCUCAGGUGGCAGGGAUAUGGGUUGAAGGGAGUGAUCCACAAAACUAUUUUGACAGGAGUGUUGUCGUGCAUGCCAAAAAAGGAGACCGACCACUCUAUAUUAGAGCAUACUAUGGUUGCUAUGACCCAUUGUCAUAUCCACUGUUUUUACCACGUGGGGAGACUGGUUGGAAUCGUUGGAUGCCGUAUGUUCAGGCCCCCGAUGACACCACCCAAUUUCCAGCGCAUAAUUCUGGACCACAAGAAAACCGCACCUCUGAUUUACAUCCAGGUAUGAUGUUCAUUAUUAAUUUGUUAUCUACUUACUAUCUUUAAGAAGAGUAAUAAAAACAUUUGACUUCGUUCACCUAUCAAACAGAUGAAAACUUGAUUAAUGGAAGGGAACGAGUUGGCACCUUUGUGCCAGAUGAAGACCGGGUCACUGGUUUACAUGCAGGUAUGGUGUUCAUUAUUAAAUUGUUUUUAUAUACUUGCUAUCUUUGUGAAUAAAAAGUUCAUAUGAAACUUAUGAAUUGGAUCGCCUAUCAAACAGAUGAGGAUUUAAUUAAUGAAAGGGAACAGGUUGGCAAUUUUAUGCCAGAUGAAGGCCAAGCGACUGAUCUACAUGCAGGUACCAGUCAUCAUUGCUUAUAUUCUUAAGCAAAUCUUAUGUUGUCAGUCAUUAUGAGUCCAGCCAGUCUACUGGUAUUUAUGUUCAAUGUUGUAGAUGAUAACGAGGAUAUCCAAGAUGAGGAUUUUGGUGACAAUGAGGUCAAUGCAACACAAUCCAGGAAAUUUGUUAGUGCAAGGGAGUACUACUGCUUCAAGCUACAGGUCAGGAAGAAGCUUUUUAACAUCAUCUUGUUUGGUGGGCGCCUUUUCCAACAGUGGGCGGUUGAUAUGUAUAUCAAGAUUGAGACUAUGAGGCUGGACUGGUACUCAAAGCCAGAAAAUCAAAAAGUUAUACGAGCUGAUCUCUACCAGGUAUGGUGCUUUUGUUUAUUCCAAUACAUCGCAAUACAAGAACAUUUUGAAAAUCAUGCCUUUUCCAUAACCUUGUAUACUCUUACAGGGUCUUGUUGACACCAUCGUUGCCGGCGAGUCACGCGGUGAUCGAAUUGGCAAGAGAAUCGUGCUUCCACGUACGUUUCCUGGUGGUGAUCGCGACAUGCAGCGGAGGUUGCUGGAUGCGAUGGCAAUAGUCCAACAGUGGGGUAAACCGGAUUAUUUUAUCACGAUGACUUGCAAUCCCUAUUGGGAGGAGAUAACCCAUAAUCUGAUGCCUGGACAACUGCCACAAGACCGUCCAGACCUUGUGGCAAGAGUAUACAAGGCUAAACAACGAGAUAUGAUGGACUUGCUAACUAAGGGUAAGCAUUUCGGAGAAGUCCCAGCUUAUGUACAUGUCACGGAGUUUCAGAAACGAGGCCUUCCUCAUGAGCAUAUACUUUUAAUCAUGAAAACAAAAAGCAAGUUAGCAUCCCCAGAUGACUAUGAUCGGGUGAUAUCCGCAGAGAUACCUGACAAAGAGAAACACCCCGUUCUGCAUGACCUGGUCGUCAAACACAUGCUGCACGGACCCUGUGGUGAGUUGAAAAAGAGUUGUCCUUGCAUGAUUGAGGGACAGUGUAGGUUUCAUUAUCCGCGAGAUUUUUGUGAUGCCACACAACAAGGGAAAGACUCUUAUCCCAUCUAUCGGAGGAGGGAUGAUGGGCGUGGAGUUAGGAUCAGAGGAGCGAAUUUGGACAAUAGAUGGGUGGUCCCUUACAACCCUUCUUUGCUUAUGCGAUAUAACUGCCACAUUAAUGUGGAAGCAUGCUCGAGCAUCAAGGCAGUCAAGUAUUUGUUCAAGUACAUCUAUAAAGGCCACGAUCGGACGUCCUUUGCAUUCGAGCAGGACAUAAUCAAUGAUGGUGGAAUCAUCAAUGAAAUCCGACAAUAUAGGGAUGCACGCUACGUAUCUCCUCCAGAGGCUAUUUACAUGAUUUUUGGUUUCAAAAUGUUUGGUGUCAGUCCAUCAGUGCUGCAGCUCCAGCUUCAUUUGCCGAACAUGCAUACAAUUGCAUUUAAAGCUGGUGAAAAUCUUGAAGAUGUUGUCGCUCGACCAUCUUCAUCCAGGUCCAUGCUUACCGAGUACUUUGAGAUGAACCGGAGGAAUCCGCAAGCACAGAAAUUGUUGUACAGAGAGUUUCCAGAGCAUUAUAGAUGGAUAGCUGGAAAAAAGAAGUGGCAGAAGAGAAGAAAUAACAGAUCACAGAUUGGAAGACUUGUGUAUGCACACCCUGCUGAAGGAGAGAGGUACUACUUGCGUGUGCUGCUAAGUCAUGUUCAAGGUGCCACUUCUUUUGAUCAUUUAAAAACAGUAAAUGGCAACCUAUGCACUUCCUUUAGAGAGGCAUGUGAGCACUUAGGCCUCAUUGAGCACGACAAGACUCUUGAUGAUUGCAUGACAGAGGCAGCCACAUUUCAGAUGCCUUCUGCCCUAAGACGGUUGUUUGCAACUAUAUUGGUAUUUUGCGAGGCAACGGAAAUACGACAAUUGUGGGAUAAACAUCUACCAUCAAUGUGUGAGGACUACAGUCGUAAUGAAUCCAAUGAGCCGGUACUUGAGCAGAUGGUCCUUCGAGAUAUUACGGAUAUGUUGCAAUCCAUGGGAAAGGAUAUUAAGAGCUAUGGACUUCCGGAUCUGGUUGAGACCGAUGGUUCUUAUGACAGUGAGUACAAAGAGGUAACAGAGGAGAGGCAAAUCACCACGGACACAGAACAUCUAGAUCUAUUUAGCAGUUUGAACAAUGAGCAGCUAGCUGGUUUCAAUGACAUAAUGGAUCAUGUGAUGAACAAAAAAAGCCAGAUAUUCUUUGUUGAUGGUCCAGGAGGAACUGGGAAGACGUACUUGUACAAGGCAUUGCUAGCAAAGCUGCGUUCCAUGGGCGAAAUCGCGAUCGCAACUGCUACAUCUGGUAUUGCAGCGUCGAUAAUGCCUGGAGGACGCACAGCACACUCCCGGUUCAAAAUUCCAAUCAAGCUCACUGACAACAGUAUGUGCGGUUUCACAAAACAGAGUGGUACAGCGGAUUGCUUAGACAUGCGUCCCUGAUAAUUUGGGACGAAGUCGCUAUGACAAAACGACAAGCAGUUGAGACGCUUGAUAGAUCACUACAGGAUAUAAUGGAAUGUUCUUUGCCGUUUGGAGGAAAGGUUGUUGUAUUUGGUGGUGAUUUCAGGCAGGUCCUACCCGUUGUGACACGUGGGACAAGAGCACAAAUAACGGAUGCUACACUUCUGAGAUCCUAUCUUUGGGAGAAGACCCGCAAGAUACGUCUCACGCGCAAUAUGCGGGCACAGGCUGAUCCUUGGUUCUCAGAAUACCUACUAAGGAUAGGCAAUGGAACUGAAGAGACAAUUGGCGACGAUUAUGUCCGUCUCCCUGAGGACAUUGUCAUUGGCUAUACCGAGGAUGAAAAAGCUAUUAACAUGCUCAUCGAAAAUGCCUUCCCAUCUUUGCAGGCCAAUGCUAGAUCGAGAGAGUACAUGAGUGCACGUGCUAUUCUUUCAACCAAGAACGAUCAUGUCGAUGACCUGAAUGACAAAAUGAUCUCCAGGUUUCCAGGCGAAGAAAAGUUAUACCAUAGUUUUGACUCAAUUGAGGAUGACUUGCAGAAUAAUUACACAAUUGAUUUUUUGAACUCAAUCACACCAAAUGGCUUGCCCCCGCAUGUUUUGAAAUUAAAGGUCAACUGUCCAGUCAUUCUGCUCCAGAACCUCGACCCUCAUAAUGGUCUAUGCAAUGGAACAUGGCUUAUGAUCAGAGCCUUUCAGGAUAAUGCAAUCGAUGCGGAGAUUGUUGGUGGUCAGCAUGCUGGAAAGAGGGUGUUUAUACCUAGGAUCCCUAUGUCACCCUCAGAGGACAUCUCACUUCCUUUCAAACUUAAGAGAAAACAGUUCCCCAUCCGCCUGAGUUUUGCCAUGACAAUUAACAAGGCACAGGGUCAGACCAUCCCAAAUGUCGGCAUUUACCUUCCCGAGCCAGUAUUCUCACAUGGGCAGCUAUAUGUUGCAUUGUCAAGAGGAGUGUCGAGAGAGACGACAUGGAUUUUGGCCAAGCCAAACAAGGAUGUUGAUAAAUCCGGGAAAAGCACCAAGAACAUUGUCUAUAGAGAUGUUUUGGAGAGAUGAGGCAGGUGCAUUAUUCCAUUAUUUCUUUUCACAUACUAUAAUGCUUUGGAAACCAGCUUAUGAAACUAGCUCCUUACAAGCUUAUCAUUUUUGUAGUCGUAUCUCAUGUCAUCCACUAAUCACUUCACAUUUUUUAUUGAUCAGGUUUGAGAAAUAUUCUUGUUCAGGAUAAUUGAGGCUUUGCUGUGGUUACUGGUCUCCACAUGUGCAACUUGUAAACCUAUAUGGAAGAGAAGAACAUGGUCGAAUGAUGCUACGACAGGGUGUCAGAUCAUACAUAAUAAGGAAUGCUUUGUGCUGUAUCCUGUACUAUCUACAUUUUCCCUUCGAAAUUACUUUCUGUUAAACAUGUUCUUGAAUGCCCAAGUGAGAUGCUCUAUGAUAUAUUUGUAACGAAAACUGCAAAAGACUGAGAUUCCUGGAAUAUAUUCUUGAAUGCCUAUGUGAGAUGUUAUAUAAUCUAUUUGUAACGAAAACUGCAAAAGACUGAGAUUCCUGGAAUAUAUUGAAGUUAAAAGGCAUUUUUACUACUAUGUUGCAAAUAGGACGUUCCCGGAUCUAUAGCACACGAGCUCACAUGCUUUCUUUUUUUAGAAACAAUCAAAAGAAUAAUGCAUACAAUAUUCAUAAAAGAAUAUAAGUCAUGUAACAGACUAAACUGGUGGAUAACCACAGUGGGCGAGAAUACCUCUUCCAACAUGCAUCAAACCAGUUGAAGAUAUGCCUCCUAUUCCGUGCAGCAUUUUCUACUUCACCUCUUCACCGAUCUCCCCCUUGGCUGGCUUGAAGGAUCAUGUGAUGAACCAAAAAAAUUCAAAAGAACAAGUCGUGAUCUCCCGCAGUCGCAAGCUCAUGUACAAGAAGGCAACCACCAUACAACACCUGAAUUUCAAAUGAAACAGAAAAAAUUAGUUUCUCAAAUAUUAAAAGGGUGUGCCUUUUCUGAAUUAAGCCCACGAUUACAGAAGGAAGGUGGGCCAAUCACAAUAUUUAUGCAUAUAAAAUGUACCACGAAAAUAACUCCAAUAAUUUUGUGUGAGUAUAAAAAAACACAAGAUAAGAUUCUGGGGCCUCAGAAAAAUCCGGGGAUGAUAGCAAUCAGGAGUCCCCAAUUAUCGCGAUAGUAGUUUCCUUUCUCUCACGAUUCUGCCUUAUAUUGCCUGAUACCAUUACUUUCACCUCUCCUCCAUCCUCCGUCGCGAUCUCUCAUCCGCAUCCCAACCUACCUCCACAACAAGUCUCUCCACUGAGCCACACACAUCUGCCCUUAGUGAAGCACCGUCAUCGUCCAUGUCUACGCCUCCGUCACCGGUGCCCCAUGCGAGUCAAUCUCCAACCAGAUCCAGUACUACUGUCCAUGCUAUCGAGAUGGUAAAGACAUAUUAUAUCCCUGUUCUUUCUAUGCAAGGUUUCCUAUCUAAAAGUGUCAUACUUGGGUUGUUAGGAUGGCAUCAACAAUGUAGCAAAGGAUGAGGAUAUAGAUAAUAUGUAGGUUGAAGAGGUCAUAAAGAAGGACGAGGAUACAAACUAUGAGUCGGCACAGGUGAUACAAGAAGACUCUACUAUGGAGGAUACAGAGUAUAUGCAUAUUGAUGAGGUGAUAACCGUACAGGAGGAUACAUAUCCCGAGUCCACAGAGGCAAGUUUUCUUUCCACAUGUCAUUACUAUUCUAAUUCUAACACCAAAGAGCACUUUGUAAUUUUUUUUAGUACAAUAUCAUAUCAAAACGAUAUUCUAUCUGUUAUAAUAUUAUACUACCAUGUGUUUUAGCUACCGAGAGAUGACGAAUCAAGUGAAGUACUCAACAAUAAUGAAGUGGAGGAAAAUAAUUGCACGGAGAGCUCAGAAUAUACACCUAUUCUUGAAGAAAACAUAGCAAACAGAGAGGCCAAAGAUUCUGAACAUACAAAUGUGACUUUCCUUUUCCAACUACUUCUUCCAAAACUAUUAUAAUUAUAUUAUAUCCUACAUACGGGUAAUUCUUUUAAUAUUGUUUUCAGAAAUCCCACAACGAAACAAGUCAACAAAUGGUGGCAACUGAGGACGAGAAAUUGGCACAAACACCCGGCAUGGAAGGGCUUCAAACUAUAGAGGACGAGCUAACAAUGCCCGUGCAUAUAAAGAAACAUAUACGACGACAUAACAAGCCUAAGAAGGCACAAGACUAUGUUGUUUCUCCACAAGGCACAGAACGAAACCUGGAGAUGUCCUUGUACUGCUAUAUUAUUGUUUUUGUGUUCAUUAUCAUUAAAUGUUAUUAUGGCCAUCGUGACAGAUUAUGCCUGCACUGGCGAUGAUUGGUCCGUUAUAGAAAAAAUCAGAUCCGAACCAAGUAAAGAAAGAAAUUUAGUGAGCAUCGGCGACGCAUUUCUGAAAAAAAGACAUUUAGUAUCUCUUCUAUCUCCCGAAGAAUGGGUUGGCGACGAAGUAAGUAUAUUACGACAUGAAGAUGCUAUUUGAUUAUAAGUAUGUGCCAUCUAAUCUACUAUGUAUACUUUUAAUUGUAGGUCAUAAAUACGUACAUAAAUUGCAUGAUUUUUACGGAGCAUCUACAAGUAAGGUCAGGUGGAAGUGUGUUCUUAGAGAAUGCAUGCAUCUCUAAGAUGAUGAAGAUCGGUAGCUAUCUGCCCUCAGAUGACAUGGAUGCUGCACCAGCAUGGGUAUUAAACAGAGCCAAAGCGUAUUUGAAAAAUGAUAUGGUUAGUCUUACUUUUCUACAUAUUUCUAUGAAUUACAGCAAGAACGACCGAUUCGUCCACAUACUUCUACAACUAAAAUAAUCAUUUUCUUCAGAUAUACUUACCAAUAAACAUGGACGGCAUUCACUGGUAUUUAUGUGUUAUAAAUGCCAAAAAAAAUGUGUUCAAGUGCUCGACUCGCUAGGCCCAUACAUGAGCCGCAAGGACCUCACUGAUACAGUUAGUACUUAGUCCUACUCCCCCAUCUUUUCUAAGAACCUUCUUUUCUUAUUUCUCACUUGUGAUGCUUAUACUUUUUCCAUUUGUUGCUACAACAGCUAGAAGGACUAGAGGAUUUAUUCAAAUAUGCAUCCAAGCACAUGGAAUUAAAAUCCGAUAAGUGGAUUGAUCUAGAUGUUACAACAUGGAAAAGAGAAGAAUAUAUUAAGAGCCGUCUUCAGACGGAUGGGUACGCCUCCUACUAGAACUCAUCGCAUUUAUGCUUAACAGGGCACAUUUGGUAUGUUAUUAUGUUUAUUUUAUCACUCAUAGCAUUCCUGAAUCACAUUUGUUCAAGAGAUUUGGUAUGCCAAUGCAAUUAUUUACCUUAUUGUAUGCCAAUGCAAUUGUCACAACACAUCUCAUGAGAUCUGGCCUAAAUAAUGGAGCUCAAGGCGAUACACUUCAUUGGGCUGCAUAUAAAAAAUGCGUUAUGAUUUUCAAUCUAUUUUUAUUCACUCAUAGGGCUAAAUAGAGUAAGCAGCCACGCAUUAACUUGUACUAUCAGCUAUGCUAGCAAUAUUACAGGAGAAGUAUCAGCUAUGCUAGCAAUAUUACAGGAGAAGAAGCAGAGCGUGUUCUGUUAUACUAUUAGGCAAUUGAGCAUAGAUCAAGUGUUUCUUUCCGCACCUGCAUAAAUUUGGGUAUAGCUCCAGGCCUUAUUUUUUUCUCCAUUUGUACCAUCCU